CUCAUUUAACAUUUAACAUCAAAUAUGGGUGGAAAAGUAAUUUCAUUUCUAAACAUUUUGGUCGUAUUUGUUCUCCUAAUGUCCCUCCAAGUAGCUUUUGCUAGAGAACUUGCGGAGACUACAAAUAUCAAAGUUAAACCGAUCAGGGCCCCCCCUUCCAAAACUCGAAAAUGUGAUUACAAGAAUUUGUGUAGGCCACCUUCCGCCCAGACCAAACCUUGAGAAUCCAAGCCCGAACACCCAAUGUUUUAAGAGUACUUUGAAUAUACAUUAUUGAAUAAUUUCAAAUAAACUAUUCCAAACAGUACUAUGGUGUUUAUGAUUAUGUUGAUAUAUAUCAUUUUAAUUUUGUUUUGAGUUAAAGCAAUAUUGUACUCCUUGUUUAAGGUUUUAUGAGUUAUAUGAGUAUGUUUUAGGUUUA